UACGGAGGAUCCAAGCGUUAUCCGGAAUCAUUGGGUUUAAAGGGUCCGUAGGCGGUUUGGUAAGUCAGUGGUGAAAGCCCAUCGCUCAACGGUGGAACGGCCAUUGAUACUGCCAGACUUGAAUUAUUAGGAAGUAACUAGAAUAUGUAGUGUAGCGGUGAAAUGCUUAGAGAUUACAUGGAAUACCAAUUGCGGAAGGCAGGUUUACUACUA
rnacentral:rRNA from 1 species